AGGGUGUAAACGCUGCAGACUUGGUGUUGGAAGCCCUUUGGGGGCAUUCAAUGCCGGAGAGAAGUUGUUAAGUCUGCUACUUGGGGAGUACGUCCGCAAGGAUGAAACUUAAAGGAAUUGGCGGGGGGAGCACCGCAACGGGAGGAGCGUGCGGUUUAAUUGGAUUCAACACCGUAAACUCACCAGGGAAGACUGUUACAUGAAGGCCGAGAUGAAGACUCUGCUAGAUUUUCAGAGAGGUGGUGCAUGGCGUCAGUGACU
rnacentral:rRNA from 1 species